rnacentral:rRNA from 1 species
GUCUUAUUGAAAAUAAUUUUAAGUUAAUCUGCCCAAUGAAUAAUUUAAAUGGCUGCAGUAUAACUGACUGUACAAAAGUAGCAUAAUCAAUUGAUUUUUAAAUGAAAUCUGCAUUGAAAGGAUUAAUGAAAUAUAUACUGUCUCAUAUUUAUUAUAUUAAUGUAAAAUUUUAAUAAAAAUGUUAAAAUUUUUUUAUGGGACGAUAAGACCCUAUAGAAUUUUAUAUUAAGUUAAUUUUAUAAUUAAUAUAAAAUUUAAUUUAAUAUUUAAUUGGGAGAAUUAUUAAAUUUAAUAAAUUUUAAUUUAUAAAAACUUUAAUUAAAGAAAAUAUUUUGAUCUUUAAUUUAAAAUUAAUAGAUUAAAUUACCUCAGGGAUAACAGUGUUGUAUUUUUUUAUAGAUCUUAUAGAAAAAAAUGAUUGCGACCUCGAUGUUGAAUUAAGAUAAAUUUGAAAUGCAGAAGUUUAAUAAUUAAGUCUGUCCGACUUU